CUGCACCGGCUGGCCCCGCAUCUGCCGGACGCCAGAAAGUAGCCGCCCGCGGCGCGCUCCGGCGUGAAGGGCCGGUGGCGGCAGGGGGAGGCCUGGCCUGCGGACCCAGCUCCCAGCUUGGGCAGGUCCCAGCUGCAGGGCAGCCAUGAGCCUGGUGGCCUGCGAGUGCCUGCCCAGCCCUGGCCUGGAGCCUGAGCCUUGCUCACGAGCACGGUCCCAGGCUCGCGUGUACCUGGAGCAGAUUCGCAACAGGGUGGCUCUGGGGGCGCCUGACAUGACAAAGCGUGACUAUCUGGUGGAUGCAGCCACGCAGAUCCGGCUGGCUCUGGAGCGAGACGUUAGUGAGGACUAUGAGGCGGCCUUCAACCACUAUCAGAAUGGUGUGGACGUGCUGCUCCGUGGCAUACACGUUGACCCCAACAAGGAACGACGUGAGGCUGUGAAGCUGAAAAUUACCAAGUACCUGCGGCGGGCAGAGGAGAUCUUCAACUGCCACCUGCAGCGGCCACUGGGCAGUGGAGCCAGCCCCAGCAUGGGUUUCAGCAGCCUGAGGCUCCGGCCCAUCCGCACGCUGAGCUCUGGCCUGGAGCAGCUGAGGGGCUGCAGGGUGGUCGGGGUCAUCAAGAAGGUGCAGCUGGUCCAGGACCCGGCAACCGGAGGGACCUUCGUGGUAAAGAGCCUACCCAGGUGCCACAUGGUGAGCCGGGAGCGGCUGACCAUCAUCCCACAUGGAGUCCCCUACAUGACAAAGCUGCUCAGGUACUUUGUGAGCGAGGACUCCAUCUUCCUGCACCUGGAGCAUGUGCAAGGAGGCACUCUCUGGUCCCACCUGCUCUCCCAGGCGCACCCCCGACAUUCUGGGCUCAGAUCUGACUCUACCCAGGAGAAGAUGAAGGCUCAGCUCAACCCCCACCUCAACCUCCUAAGCCCAGCGAGGCUCCCCUCAGGCCAUGCCCCUGGGCAGGUCAGAAUCGCCCUGGAGCCUCCUAGGACUUCUUUGAGCCUUCCCCCAGCCGGGGAGGCCCCAUCCACCAGACCCCAGAGGGAGACUGAAGGUGAACCCACAGACAGGACCAGCACUUCUGGUUCCCUGGACCUUCCAAAGGCCCCAAGUGACCACCUGUACCUUCAAGCAAGGCGGGCUGGCCAGAACUCAGACACUGGGACCUCUCAGGGACUCACUUGGGUUCCUGAGGGGGCCGGCCCAGUGCUGGGCAAGAAUCAGAGUUGCCUGUCAGCGGAUGGGGCUGGCCCAGGCUGUGGCAGUGCCACCUGGAGAGUGAGGGAGGAACAGGUGAAGCAGUGGGCUGCGGAGACACUGGUAGCACUGGAGGCGCUGCAUGAGCAGGGGGUGCUGUGCCGGGACCUCCACCCCGAGAACCUGCUCCUGGACCAGGCAGGUAGGUGCCCUUCCCACCCUUCAGGGGGGCUGCCCCCAAGUCUCCAGGCAGAGGAUGAGAUCCCCAAAAUCAAGGGGAGCUCCAAGAUUGUCUGUUCCUUCCCGGCCCCACCCAGCAUUUCAGUGGGCCUGUGCCCGAGUCUGUGGGCAAGGCUCCUGGGAGUACCCUGUAUUCUGUGGGCCUCAGGGUGCUGUGCCCCUGUGGAGGUUCUGCCCAGCAUGGCCCUUGGCUCCCACUGCAUGACUGUUGGGGAAGCCCUGGAAUCCUUCCCCUUGUCAGCUAUCCUCAAUCUUUGUCCCUCCUUUUUCCUGCUACACACACUGGAGAAGGUCACAUCCGGCUCACAUAUUUUGGCCAGUGGUCAGAGGUGGAGCCCCAGUGCUGCGGGGAGGCCCUGGACAAUCUCUACAGCGCCCCAGAGGUGGGUGGGAUUUCAGAGCUAACGGAAGCCUGUGACUGGUGGAGCUUUGGGUCCAUACUGUAUGAGCUGCUGACAGGAAUGGCACUGUCCCAGAGCCACCCUUCAGGAAUCCAGGCCCACACCCAGCUCCAGCUGCCCGACUGGCUGAGUCGCCCAGCGGCCUCUCUGCUGACUGAGCUGCUGCAGUUCGAGCCUACCCGGCGCCUGGGCGUGGGAGAAGGUGGUGUCAGCAAACUCAAGUCCCAUCCCUUUUUCAGUACCAUCCAGUGGAGCAAACUGGUGGGGUAAGAGGGCAAAGCGGGCAAUGCAAGCAGCUGGCCUGGAUCUCCUCUCUUCCUUGCCCGAUAUCUAGGGCUGGCCCUCUAUCAACAGGCUUCGGGCGAGGAAUGGAGGGCAUUGCCUGUCCUGCUGGGCUCCUGCCAGGGCCUCAGAAUUAUGGUCAUAUGGCCAUCUUCCAGUAAGGGCCAGCUCCUGGAAAAGUAGGGGGUAGGGGCAGUCAAGGCUCACCCUGCUAAGCAGCUUGAACCUUCCACCCGCCAGUCAACAGACCUGUUAAGCACGCAGACUCACCAUGUUACAGGGUGCCUUCUGUGGCACUGGCGCUGAGCUGACCACCUGCUGCGCCUACUGUGAGGUUCUGUGACUCACUCACUGCCAUGUUGUGCCCUACUUGGGACAUCUCUGGAGACUCAUCUCAGGACACUGAUCCACUGGCUCAGUGGACCCUAACCAGGCUGUCCUGGCUGGUCAUUUUAGUCACACAAGUGGGGCUUUUCCACUAGAAGCUGUUCCUGCAGCUGGGGAGGCCCAGAAGCAGGGAUGCCAUCUGUGGGGCAGGGAGGGAUGAGGUGGGGGACAGGAGGAUUCCCCCAUUCCUGAACAUGCCCCCUAUCUUGUGAUUUCAGACUUGGGAGAGCAAAAGGGAGGGGAAGAAAAUAAGAGAAAUGGGGGAAAGAAGGAAUGCACGGCUCUGCUCCUUAGAGCAAGUCAGACAUCAGAAUCAAGAGCUCUCUUCCCCAGGGGGCCCACCUCUGUGUGGGGAGGGGGCAGUCUGCCCCAGGGGCACAAAAGGACAGCAAUUCAGCCUCCAGGCCAAAGCAGCCGAAGGUGUGCCCAUCAGGACUCCCUCUCAGGCCUUGGUUCUGUUACCAUGUCACUGCCUACUAGGACUUCACACCCUUUGAGAUAAGAAACCCCAAAACAUAUAACGACUAUACAUGGCUCUUAGCCAGAAAUCUUGCUCUGGUCUCUGAAAAACUGGGGUGAGUGGUUACUCUAAGACAACUGCCCCCAGUUUGGGGUUUCAUUUUGGGGUUCACCCCGUCACUGGGGUAUGGGACCUUAGAAACUAGACUUUUGCUUCCAACUCCUCCCUGCCAGCAUCCCAGUCACCACCAGGUGGCGCUUCAGACACGGUUCUCCCAUCUGGCUCUGAAGGCCCAACUCUUGUCAGGCCAGACUCCUGUCUCGGCCUGACUUCCUCGGGCUCUGCAGGAGACCGCGACAGAGAGGACAUGCAAAAGUGCAACCUGUAUAUGACUCUGUGCUCUACAUCCUGGCUCUCACUGGGGCUUACCCAGCCCCAAUAAAGCCUGCAAUGGCCUCUGUGUUCUUGCUUC